rnacentral:misc_RNA from 1 species
AAGUCGUAACAAGGUUUCCGUAGGUGAACCUGCGGAAGGAUCAUUAACACGUUAUCCACGUUAUCAACCAAAUGCGAACUUGUUUUCACGUCUCCCUUUGCAAUUUGAAUGAAUUGGAACCAGUUUGAGGGAAUUGAUGUGGAUUGCAGUCAAAUGCAAUCGGCCUUCCUGGUAUACUUGCGAACACUGAAAAGUGAACGCUGACAAUUGUAUCUUAUUGAUUAAAAGGCCAAAUUUCUUUCGCUAUUUCGAUCUCACAUCAUGAUCAAUGGAAUAGCUUGAAGGAGAAACAAAUCAUAAACCAUUUUCACCACCUUUUUGCUAGUUGACUUUUUAUCUGUGAUCGUUUUGCUUUUUAGCAAUGCAGUCGCACGUUUAAAUUACUUGAACGUUAAAAAUAUACAACUCUUAGCAAUGGAUAUCUUGGUUCUC